rnacentral:rRNA from 1 species
GGGCCCGCACAAGCGGUGGAGCAUGUGGUUUAAUUCGACGCAACGCGCAGAACCUUACCAGGGUUUGACAUCCCGCGCUAAACUCAGAGAUGGGUGGUCCCCGCAAGGGGCGCGGAGACAGGUGCUGCAUGGCUGUCGUCAGCUCGUGUCGUGAGAUGUUGGGUUAAGUCCCGCAACGAGCGCAACCCUCUCCUUUAGUUGCCAUCAUUUAGUUGGGCACUCUAAAGGGACCGCCGGCGACAAGCCGGAGGAAGGUGGGGAUGACGUCAAGUCCUCAUGGCCCUUACACCCUGGGCUACACACGUGCUACAAUGGCGGUGACAGUGGGCAGCGACCACGCGAGUGGAUGCGAAUCCCAAAAAACCGUCCCAGUUCAGAUUGCACUCUGCAACUCGAGUGCAUGAAGGCGGAAUCGCUAGUAAUCGCAGAACAGCAGGCUGCGGUGAAUACGUUCCCGGGCCUU